rfam:Pseudomonas entomophila str. L48 chromosome,complete sequence.
CUAGUCUCGGCGAGUCGCUGGUGUUCAGCGACCGGCUUUGACAGGCCGCGAC